AGAGUUCGAUCCUAGCUCAGGAUGAACGCUGGCGGCAUGCUUAACACAUGUAAGUCCAACGAGAAGUGGUGUUUCCAGUCGCAGACAAGUGAGUAAAGCGUAAGAACCUACCCUUAGGAGGGGAACAACAACUGUAAAUGGUUGCUAAUACCCUGUAAGCUGAGGACCAAAAGGAGGAAUGCGCCCGAGGAGGGACUCGUGACUAAGUAGCUAGUUGGUGAGGCAAUACCAUACCAAGGCAAUGACCAGUAGCUGGUUUAAGAGGAUGAUCAACCACACUGGGACUGAGACAUGGCCCAGACUCUUACAGGAGGCAGCAGUGGGGAAUUUUUCACAAUGGGCGAAAGCUUGACGGAGCAAUGCCGCGUGGAGGUAGAAGGCCUACGGGUCGUGAACUUCUUUUCCCGAAGAAGAAGCAAUGCUUGUAUCAGGGGCUUAAGCAUUAGCUAACUUUGUGCCAGCAGCCGCAGUAAAGCAUCUUUAGGUGUCUUUUUAAGUCUGCUGUCAAAGCCCAAGGCUCAACCCUGGACAGGCGGUGGAAACUACAAAGCUAGAGUACGGUAGGGAUAGAGGGAAUUUCCGGUGGAGCACUGAAAUGCGUAGAGAUCGAAAAGAACACAAACGAUGAAAGCAUUCUACUAGGCCGACACUCAUAUGAGCGACGAAAGCUAGGGGAGCGAAUGGGAUUAGAUACCCCAGUAGUCCUAGCCGUAAAUGAUGGAUACUAGGUGCUGUGCGUAUCGACCCGUGCAGUGUUGUAGCUAAUGCGUUAAGUAUCCCGCCUGGGGAGUAAGUUCGCAAGAAUGAAGCUCAAAUGAAUUGAUGGGGGCCCACACAAGUGGUGGAGCAUGUGGUUUAAUUCGAUGAAAAGAAAAGAACCUUACCGAGGGUUGACAUGCCACGAAUCCUCUUGAAAGAGAGGGGUGCCUUCGGGAACGUGGACACAGGUGGUGCAUGGUUGUCAUCAUCUCGUACCGUAAGGUCUUGGUUUAAGUCCUACAACAAGCGCAACCCUCAUGUUUAGUUUCAACCAUUGAGUUUUGAACCCUGAGUAGACUGUCGGUGAUAAGCUAGAGGAACGUGAGAAUGAGUUAAGUCAUCAUGACCCUUAUGCCCUGUGCGAGACACGUGCUACAAUGGCUGGGACAAAGGAUCGCGAUCCCACGAGGGUGUGCUAACUCCAAAAACCCAUCCUCAGUUCGAAUUGUAGGCUGCAACUCGCCUACAUUAAGCUAGAAUUGCUAGUAAUUGUCGGUCAGCCAUACGGCGGUGAAUUCGUUCCCGAGCCUUUUAUACACCGCCCAUCACACUAUGGGAGCUGGCCAUGCCCGAAGUCGUUACCUUAACCGCAAGGAGGGGGAUGCCGAAGGCAGGGCUAGUGACUGGAGUGAAGUCGUAACAAGGUAGCCGUACUGGANUCGCCUACAU
rnacentral:rRNA from 2 species